CCCCUUAUAGCUCAAGGCUGUCAACGUGCAGACUCUGAAAAUGUUAACCUUGAAGAAGCUUUCAUGGCUAACAAACUUCAACAAGCUAACUACAACUACGCUUUAGCUUAGUUUAACCUAGCUAACAACUAAUACUUCUUAAUCUUUGUAUUUGUUGCUACUGUUCUAAGAUUAAUAUAUCUAUUCAUGCUAAUAAAAUAGACGAAUCUCAUUAGCUAUAUCAAUACCGUGUUUGUUUGAAUACACAAGAGUAUGGAUGAAGCUAGAAAUUCAAACUAAACUGUAGAAGCUUAUUUUGGGUGUUAGAUGGAAGUGGGUUCGAUUCCCACCAUCUCCACCA
rnacentral:tmRNA from 1 species